UUGUGAGUUUUAUGUAGAAGCAUGCAUCUUCACGGCACAUCUCCCAUGUCUUUGGUGAGUAGUUUAAGAACUGUACUGUUCUCCUGAAGAAGUUGCAGUUUGGGUGAAAAGGGAAAAAUGGCUGGAAGGGUACUUCGGAGCUCAUCCCAUCCAACCCCUCUGCUCAAAGCAGGGUCAGCUGAGUAGCCUGCCCAGGACUGUAUUGAGUUGGGUUUUGAAUGUCUCCAGGAUGGUGACUCCACAACCUCUCUGAGCAACCUCUUUCAAUGUCUGACCACUUUCAUAUUGUGUUGCAAAGUUUAGUUUCAAGAAGGAAAAUACCCUCAGAGGAGGUUGACAGACAGGUGGGAAAAUACAAAGGUGCCAAGAGAUCAGAGGAUGCUGAAAGAUACUGUCUAGAGGAGUCGUCUCUCUUAAGACACAGCUAGGAUUUAAUCUCAAAAGUAUACUACCUCCCCCAUGGCCUGCUCAAGGCUGCCUGGUUGUGCCUCCUCUGCUGAUGGCAGUUCUACCUCCAGGACUCUUGUCCUCUCUUGCAGACUGGCAGUAAGGAGUCCCCUGCUGCCACACGUGACUUUGGCUCUUGAUUAACCUACUUGGCACAGUAUGAAGCUGGAGGUGCUUCAGGUUUUGCACACAGUGCUUCAUACUUAUUAACUUUAUGUCUUGUCAACUGAAAUCAAUAUUGAUAAUAAUAAAU
rnacentral:lncRNA from 1 species